rnacentral:rRNA from 1 species
AGGGGCAGCAUGGUCUUAGCUUGCUAAGACUGAUGGCGACCGGCGCACGGGUGAGUAACACGUAUCCAACCUGCCGUCUACUCUUGGACAGCCUUCUGAAAGGAAGAUUAAUACAAGAUGGCAUCAUGAGUCCACAUGUUCACAUGAUUAAAGGUAUUCCGGUAGACGAUGGGGAUGCGUUCCAUUAGAUAGUAGGCGGGGUAACGGCCCACCUAGUCUUCGAUGGAUAGGGGUUCUGAGAGGAAGGUCCCCCACAUUGGAACUGAGACACGGUCCAAACUCCUACGGGAGGCAGCAGUGAGGAAUAUUGGUCAAUGGGCGAGAGCCUGAACCAGCCAAGUAGCGUGAAGGAUGACUGCCCUAUGGGUUGUAAACUUCUUUUAUAAAGGAAUAAAGUCGGGUAUGCAUACCCGUUUGCAUGUACUUUAUGAAUAAGGAUCGGCUAACUCCGUGCCAGCAGCCGCGGUAAUACGGAGGAUCCGAGCGUUAUCCGGAUUUGUUGGGUUUAAAGGGAGCGUAGAUGGAUGUUUAAGUCAGUUGUGAAAGUUUGCGGCUCAACCGUAAAAUUGCAGUUGAUACUGGAUAUCUUGAGUGCAGUUGAGGCAGGCGGAAUUCGUGGUGUAGCGGUGAAAUGCUUAGAUAUCACGAAGAACUCCGAUUGCGAAGGCAGCCUGCUAAGCUGCAACUG